AGUUACGUACUUUAUUUUAAAAGACUUAGCUUGCACCUAAAAAUAGGGUAAUUCACCCCGCAACUAC
rnacentral:tRNA from 1 species